rnacentral:snRNA from 1 species
AUGCUUACUUUGACAGAACAUAUACUAAAACUAGAAUUAUACAGAGAAGACUAGUAUGACCUCUGUAGAGGAUGACACAUAAAUUUUUAAAGCAUUCCAUGUUCUU